GAAGCAUGUUAUAUAGACGUAUUUCCAAGCAUAAUAGUGGAGUUCCUUAGAGAGAGAGAGAAAAAAAAAAAGGCAUAAAAAUAAAUAUGAAAUAGCUGAUGAUAUACUCAGGAAAUAUCUUCUUAAGCUUUGAUGAAAUAUUUCAUAAAGAUUAAAGAAAAUAUUCCAACUCUAAGUUUAAUAAAAUAUAAGAUUAAGAUCACAAAAAUGGUCCCUAUGAAAAUAGCUUAAAAUAUGACAUGAACUAUUUCAUUAUAUUGCAUAGAAUAUUAAUGAAAUUUUAUUCCUCAGACACUGUAAUAUUCAUGAAGUUUCAUAGGAAUCAUCCCCACAUGGACCAGUAGCUUUCCUUUUUUAAUCAAACUGCCAGCCCUCUCCAUAUGCAUAUUUCAGCCAUCACCCACCUUACUAGAGAGGCUUUAUCUGGGUUGCUUAAUCACAGCACAUUUCACGUUUGUGGAUAAUUUGUACAAUCAGUCAAGUUCACCCCUUGAUCCCUAGCCCAUCUGUAUAUUGCAUCUCUUCCUUGGUGGCCUGAGGUGUCAAGGGUCCACUGAGCCAGAAAUAAUUCACCCUGAUGUCAGCCCAGAUCUACUUGAGCCACACUGAUCUUAGCAGCGUGACCUACCUGCUGGUUGCUUUGAUGUUCUUCAGUGGUACAAUUCAGGUACAUGGACAUCUAUGUGUUGUACCUUUACAACCAUGUUCUCUACCUCGGCAGUAUUAUCCUUCCUCAGUGAGACAGCCCAGAUGGGUUUGCCUCUUUGCUGCCAGUUGUUUUGCUUCUGUUGCUGUAACCAUUCCCCAUAGGGAAUUUGCCACUAUUCAGGAGUCAGUAUAGAGAUAGAGCACUGACCACUUUUCUCAAUCAGCAUUAUGUAAAGCUAGCUGGAUGGCCUUAAAUUCUUCAGAUUGGUUCUAUUUACCUGCCAAAGUGGCAUAUAACAUCAUCUUUGAAGGGAAACCUUUCCUUCAGCCUGAGAAGAGUCACCUCCAGAGGCUGUAGGCUUGUACUCCCUUUGUAGAGAAGGAUCCCAACUGCCUGGCUUCUAUGCCCUCUAUUUCCAGGCUACUGGCCUCAUUAUCCCAGCAUCAAAGCAUCCAGGUGGCAAUGCACUCAACUGGUAGAUGGCUGACAUCCUUUCACAUGUCUCACAGCUCACUCAGGGAUAGAGGUUGUGUGGUUACUGCCUCAUUUAUGAAUUCUGCUUUUCCUUUCUCCCAUUUCUAUGAUAGCUCUAUUUUCAAGUCUGUGAUAUUUUAUAUAUAUACAAAACAAGUGAUGGAUAAUGCAGUUGCUUACUACCCACUGACUGAUGACAAGCCAGUCCCUCACCAGCAGCUGCUGCCCUAGCCAACGCCUCACAGUUUUAUCAUUAUGAUGUCAUAUGGUACAGAAUAAUCCUUCGGGUCAACUGUCCUGAUUCUAUCCCCUUCCACCUCCCUGUGCACCCCCAGUUCCUUGCUGGCAGGGCAGUAUGAGAAGCUGAAAACACUGUGAAAGUGGGGAGCUCAGCACUGGACACAGUCCUCACUGGUAUUCAGUAGAAAGGAAAGUUCAACUCUACCUACCUACUGGCAAAGCUUUGCUUAAGAUCCCAGCCCCAAGAGGCCCCAAAAAUACAAGUCUGAAUUUGCUUGAAAAGCUCUAAGAGUGGAGAAGCAGGAAAUGGACUCCAGCAUCACUGAUGUCUGGCACAGAGUGGCUAUCAGAAAGAAAAAACAGCAUUUGACAGACAAA